rnacentral:lncRNA from 1 species
UGGUCGAAAGAUGACAUUUGGUCGAAAGAUGACAUUUGGUUCGAAACAUAACAAUUGGUCCGAAAGAUAACUGUGAUAACUAAUAUGUCGAAAGAUAACUGUUGUAUCGUUAGAUAACUGUUGUGUCGAAAGAUAACAGUUGGGUCGAAAGAUAAUGGGGGGUUAUAAACAUACUUUGAAUGAUGGAAUGUAUGCUUGAUUUAUUUGGCAUGCCAUGCUUGGUGAUGAAUGUUAACAUUUGUAUUCGUGUACACUAGCUGAUGAUUAAAUGUGAAAUGAUACGUGUUGUGCCGAUAUGCAAACUGACUGUUAUGU